UCAGCGUAACCCUAACGUUUGUAGGUGA
rnacentral:sRNA from 1 species